CCAGUCCUAUACCAGGGACAGAAAAAUUAUUGGAAUCAGUUGCCUUCUAUCCAGAGUUCCCUUUCUAAUUUCCAUUUUACUCUGAUUUGAAAGAACCAGAUCUUCUCUCAGAUCAUUUCUUAUUUAGACUAGGGUCUGGUUCAUGUUUACGCUCUAGGAAUAAAUUUAAAUAGAAUGAGAAAAUGUUUAAAAAAUUCAAAAUGAUGCUCCUGCCUACUUAUAUUGUCUAUUAUUUUAACAACCCGGAAACCCUUGGAGCAAGUAAAGAACAAAAAAUAUCAUGAAUGCUUUUUGGGGUACAGUUUGGACCCAUCUUUUCCCUCCUCUUUUUGAACUCCUGAAUUCUGCUGGAGACCCAUAGAUUCUCUGGGUGUGAGACCAGAGAAUGUGCAUUUUAACCUGCUCCCCUUGGCAGCUCUUCCCUUUCCUAAAGUUUGAGAUCAUACAGAAUUUCUAACUUCAGCUCCAAUCCAUUAGGUAGCUGUUCUGUCCUUCAUGAAAAAAAUCUCCAUCUUAAUGGUGACUACCCAGAGCCGCUUUGUUAGCUAAAGGGUGCAUAGAGACUCCGCUCUCAGUGGUUGGCAGUUAUUGUAAGGGAAUUCCUGCCAGUCCUCCCCUCUCUCCUGGGUACAUGACUCCCUAUUAACUAAUUGAAAGAGUAAUAACAAAACUAACAACCAACUAGGUUUGUUUCUGGUAGGAAGAAAUAUCGACUGCCUAUACAGUGAGACAAGGAAGGUGAUAAAAAGGCUCAUCUUUGCAACUAUCUUCUGAACCACACCGCAGGCAUGCAAUUCUUUGGCUUGGGUUCUCCUAAAUGAUGUUACCGAGGAGGAGUAACAAGUUGUACAUUCAACAUCAUGAUCCAAUCACAGCUUAAAGAGGAUUGCAAAAUUAGCUAUCAGGUUACCUAGCAAAUAACCAAAUAAGGCCUUGUAAAGGUGAGAUUUUUAGAACAGGUAAAUCUAGAUGGAUGGAAAAGCUAGGCAAAGUCAACAACCUGGGUUGGUUAGCAAGGUACAUCUUCUUCCACUAUUUUUCUUUAUGCUUCUUGGGCUUUUUCUAAAGCAGGAGCUGGCAGACUUUUCUGUCAGUAUUUUAGGUUCUUCAGCCAGUGCUGACUGUUGCAAUCCCUCGGCUUUGUCUCUGUUGUAUGAAUGCUGCCACGUGCAACAUGGAAACGAUCAGGGUGGCUGUGUUUCGAGAAAACUUUAGUUACCUUGAAACUUAAAUCUCAGAUGAUUUUUCACAUGCCGCAAAUUAUUUUUCAACAUUUGUUUCCCCACAAGCCAUUUGAAAAGUACAAGACUAUUUUUAGUUUGAGGUACACAAAAACAGAUGAUGGACUAGACAGGUCACUGUUGGCUGGCCUGUUUUUAAACAAGAACAGUUUCCUAUUUUCAAUGCAUACCCCAUGCCUUCCCACGGCUCUACUUUUGCUCCUGUCAUUCUUGUUUUUGAAUGUUAUUUUCCAAUUCCUACAUGUCCAUUUGUUCCCAUCACCUGGUUUGGCUACUACCUUCCUUUUCA
rnacentral:lncRNA from 1 species